AGCGCAGGAAUUCCAACUGUGCGCAGUCUACUUGGAGAGCUUGUCUGGCCCGGGAGCAGGAAAUACAGCACUUAUCAGCCUGUGGUGUGAAAGACCACUAAUCAAGUGUCCAAUGGUGCUAUGGACCCCCUGCCAGCUUCUCCUUCUCCCAUGGACUCUGUUGCUUGCGUUUUCACAAGCCCAAGGCCAAGAGUUGCGGAGGAUCACAGAAAUGAAGCAAACUAUGGCAAUGAAACCCGAACUGCGGUGUGUGGAUGUG